ACGGGAGGCAGCAGUGGGGAAUAUUGGGCAAUGGACGAAAGUCUGACCCAGCGACGCCGCGUGAGGGAAGAAGGUCUUCGGAUUGUAAACCUCUUUCAGCAGGGAAGAAGGAAGUGACGGUACCUGCAGAAGAAGUCACGGCUAACUACGUGCCAGCAGCCGCGGUAAUACGUAGGUGGCGAGCGUUAUCCGGAAUUACUGGGUGUAAAGGGUGUGUAGGCGGGGAAGCAAGUCAGAUGUGAAGAUUAUGGGCUCAACUCAUAAACUGCAUUUGAAACUGUUUUUCUUGAGAGUGGGAGAGGUAAACGGAAUUCCUGGUGUAGUAGUGAAAUGCGUAGAUAUACGGAGGAACGCCAGUGGCGAAGGCGGCCUGCUGGACGACAACUGACGCUGAGGCGCGAAAGCGUGGGGAGCAAACAGGAUUAGAUACCCUGGUA
rnacentral:rRNA from 1 species